UGCGUUGGUAGCUCAGUCUGGGAGAGCGCUGCGCUGAAGACGCAGUUGUCCCCGGUUCAAAUCCGGGCCAACGCAUC
rnacentral:tRNA from 2 species